rnacentral:rRNA from 1 species
CUUGGUCAUUUAGAGGAAGUUAAAGUCGUAACAAGGUCUCCGUUGGUGAACCAGCGGAAUGCUCGUUACCGAGUUAUACAACUCAUCAACCCUGUGAAAUGCUCGUAGUGCCUCUCGUGAUGAGAACAGACGGCCUUGUAACAACGAUGUCCGUGAGAUGCAUGCUCGUUAAGUCUGUUUUUAUAAUGAUGUCGCUGAUGAUCGUGCAAAUAAAUUAAAACUUUCAACAACGGAUAUCUUGGCUUUGGCAUCGAUGAAGAACGCAGAGAAAUGCGAUAAGUAAUGUGAAUUGCAGAAUUCAGUGAAUAUGCUCGUAGAGUCGCUGUAGAUGCGCCCCCCAGUAUUCUGGCGGGCUUGCGUGUUCGAGCGAUGCUCGUAGUAGUCCGCCCCCGGAUGCUCGUGAUGGGAUGCUCGUAGGCCCCCUGUGGGAUGCUCGUAGAUGCUCCUUACAGUGGCGGUCCCGCCGCAGCUUCCAUUGCGUAGUAGAUAACACCUCGCAACUGGAGAGCGGCGUAGUAGUCGUGGUCGCUGAUAUGCUCGUGAUGCCUCGAAUCACGUAGGGUAGGAAUACCCGCUGAACUUAAUGGCUCGCAAUAAGCGGAUAGGCUCGCUGAUAGUCGCUGAUGAUAGCCUGUAGUG